UACGAAGGGGGCUAGCGUUGCCCGGAAUCACUGGGCGUAAAGCGCACGUCGGCGGAUUGCUAAGUCAGGGGUGAAAUCCUGGAGCUCAACUCCAGAACUGCCUUUGAUACUGGCGAUCUUGAGUCCGGGAGAGGUGAGUGGAACUGCGAGUGUAGAGGUGAAAUUCGUAGAUAUUCGCAAGAACACCAGUGGCGAAGGCGGCUCACUGGCCCGGUACUGACGCUGAGGUGCGAAAGCGUGGGGAGCAAACAGG
rnacentral:rRNA from 1 species